UACUAUUUGAGAAUAAAUGUAAUAUUUUUUCUAAUUCAUCUAGGAUGAUAAAUCCUCUCUUAAUCACUCAAGUACCUUCAUAUAGUUCAUGUUAUACCUAAUAUCUA